rnacentral:rRNA from 1 species
UACGUAGGGUGCGAGCGUUAAUCGGAAUUACUGGGCGUAAAGCGUGCGCAGGCGGUUUUGUAAGCCAGAUGUGAAAUCCCCGGGCUUAACCUGGGAAUGGCAUUUGGGACUGCAAGGCUGGAGUGUGGCAGAGGAGACUGGAAUUCCCGGUGUAGCAGUGAAAUUCGUAGAUAUCGGGAGGAACACCAGUGGCGAAGGCGGCGAUCUGGGAAGAUACUGACGCUGAGGUGCGAAAGCGUGGGGAGCAAACAGG